CGUCCCCUCGUUGCACUUGCCCCUCGCCGUCAUUCAACCCUAUCGUCCCUACCUACACGUAGAAUCGGACACCGCCGCUCAGCCCCUUCGCUGCCGCUAGCCGAUUUCAACGCCCCUCAACCCCUCCGCCGCCGCCAGCCGCGUUCAAAGCCAGGACAUGAUGAUCCCCAGGUCAGGACGAUCCCGUUGACAGGCCCUGAACUGGGUCCGCCAGAACCCGUAUGAUCCGGCGCUGAUCAUACGGAUCUGCGGGCGAUCCCGUAUGAUCCUACCCUGAUCGUCAGGAUCGGCUUGACCCUCUCAGGGUGACGCAUCUUCAGGUUGGCCACGUUUCUUUGACUCUCGUUGCAAGCGAAAUCUGCACAACGUUGAGUCAUCACAUAAGUGUUUAGUCAUCUCGGUGCUGGGGUCAUCAUAAACCGCAGAAGUCAACAUCAUCAGCAGAAAGUAGUGACAGAAACAAGAGGAAGGAAGGACAGAAUUGUGUUGAUUCAUCUCGGUGCGAGGGUCAUCAUUAACAGCAGCAGUCACCAGAAAAAGUAACAGAAACAAGAGGUGUGUAUGGGUAAUUCGAAAAGCAAGGCAGUUGAACCGCAACCAGAAGAGGACGUUACUACCAGCCUUUCAAGCGUGAAAAAUGUUGAACAUAACAAUGCAAGCAUCAUACCCGUAGCUCAAAGUGAUGAUGAAACGAAUGCUUCGGUUCCAGAAGGGACGUGUCCGGUUGGAGAGCACAAUGAGGCUUCGUUGUCGGCUCUGAGUACACUAACGGUGGAUUGUUGCACAGAUGAAUAUGUUACUAACUCAUCCCAAUUUAAUAUGCCAAGAGUGUUAGUUGCGUAUAUUUUCUCAUAUAUAUCAUUGGUUUUCUUUUCCUACGUGUUACAUGU